UGAACGCUGGCGGUAUGCCUAACACAUGCAAGUCGAACGAGGUAGCAAUACCUAGUGGCGGACGGGUGAGGAAUACGUAGGGAUCUGCCUUUAAGUGGGGGAUAACCCGGGGAAACCCGGAUUAAUACCGCAUGAUCUCGCAAGAGCAAAGUGGGGGAUCGCAAGACCUCACGCUUUUAGAGGAACCUACGUCGGAUUAGCUUGUUGGUGAGGUAAUGGCUCACCAAGGCGACGACGGGUAGCCGGCCUGAGAGGGUGACCGGCCACAUUGGGACUGAGAUACGGCCCAGACUCCUACGGGAGGCAGCAGUGGGGAAUAUUGCACAAUGGGCGCAAGCCUGAUGCAGCGACGCCGCGUGAGGGAUGACGGCCUUCGGGUUGUAAACCUCUUUCGACAGGGACGAAGCUUUGGUGACGGUACCUGUAUAAGAAGCACCGGCUAACUACGUGCCAGCAGCCGCGGUAAUACGUAGGGUGCAAG
rnacentral:rRNA from 1 species